AUUGAACGCUGGCGGCAUGCCUUACACAUGCAAGUCGAACGGUAACAGGCCGCAAGGUGCUGACGAGUGGCGAACGGGUGAGUAAUGCAUCGGAACGUGCCCAGUCGUGGGGGAUAACUGCUCGAAAGAGCGGCUAAUACCGCAUACGACCUGAGGGUGAAAGGGGGGGAUCGCAAGACCUCUCGCUAUCAGAGCGGCCGAUGUCGGAUUAGCUAGUUGGUGGGGUAAAGGCCCACCAAGGCAACGAUCCGUAGCUGGUCUGAGAGGACGACCAGCCACACUGGGACUGAGACACGGCCCAGACUCCUACGGGAGGCAGCAGUGGGGAAUUUUGGACAAUGGACGCAAGUCUGAUCCAGCCAUGCCGCGUGCGGGAAGAAGGCCUUCGGGUUGUAAACCGCUUUUGUCAGGGAAGAAAUCUUCUGGGUUAAUACCUCGGGAGGAUGACGGUACCUGAAGAAUAAGCACCGGCUAACUACGUGCCAGCAGCCGCAGUAACAC
rnacentral:rRNA from 1 species